CAUUUUCUUUAUCCAUUUAUCUGUUGAAGGGCAUCUAGGCUGGUUCCAUAAAUUCACUAUUAUGAAUUGUGCUGCUAUAAAUAUUGAUGUGGUUGUGUCACUGUAAUACGCUGAUUUUAAGUCCUUUGGGUAUAUGCCAAGGAGUGGGAUAACUGGGUCAAAUGGUGGUUCCAUUCCUAGUUUAGAAAGGGAUAUUUUGUAGACAAGUGAUUAUUUUCCUUAAAGUUCUUUAAACCCACACUCAUUCUCUGUGAUCACAGUCCAUAUCACUGGGGCAAGAGAAGAGAGAAGAGUUCUGUGGCACAAUGCUUAUAAGAUACACCUACUGUGAAAAAAAUGUUCAACAUUUCUAGUAAUUAGAGAAAUGCAAAUCAAAACUACUCUAAGAUAUCAUCUCACUCCAGUCAGAAUGGCAGCUAUUAAGAAUACAAGCAACAAUAAGUGUUGGCAAGGAUGUGGGGAGAAAGGCACACUCAUACAUUGCUGGGGGGACUGCAAAUUGGUGCAGCCAAUCUGGAAAGCAGUAUGGAGAUUCCUUAGAAAACUUGGAAUGGAACUACCAUUUGACCCAGCUAUCCCCCUCCUUCCUAGGUUUAUACCCAAAAGACUAAAAACAGCAUACUGCAGUGACACAGCCACAUCAAUGUUUAUAGCAGCACAAUUCACAAUAGCUAAACUGUGGAACCAACCUAGAUCCCCUUCAAUAAAUGAAUGGAUAAAGAAACUGUGGUGCAUACAUACACAAUGGAACAUUACUCAGCAUUAAAAGAGAACAAAAUCAUAGCAUUUGCAGGUAAGUGGAUGGAGUUGGAGAAUAUCAUACUAAGUGAAGUAAGCCAAUCUCCAAAAACCAAAGGCCAAACAUUUUCUCUGAUGGGUGGAUGCUGAUCCACAAUGGGUAUGGCAAUGGGAGCGUGGGAGGAAUGGAGAAACUUUGGAUAGGGCAAAGAAGAGGGAGGGGAAGGGAGGAGGCAGGGGGUAGGAAAGAUGGUGGAAUGAGAUGGACAUCAUUAUCCUAGGUACGUGUAUGGAAGACAUGAAUGGUGUGAAUCUACUUUGUGUGCAACCUGAGACAUGAAAAAUUGUGCUCCAUAUGUGUACUAUGAAUUGAAAUGCAUUCUGCUGUCAUGUAUAACAAAUUAGAAUAAAUAAAUAAAUAAAUGAGAGAGAGAGAGAGAGAGAGAGAGAGAGAGAGAGAGAGAGAGAGAAGAUGCACGUGCUGAUGGGACGUUCAUACGAGGUGGUGGAUGUAGGAAGACACACAUAUCUCUUCCUGUUUCCAGAUUUAUGACCAGGCCAUAAUUAGUUCUCAUUAACUUUGCCACAGGCUCUUCACUGCCACAGAUGCAGGGUCCCUGUGUGUAGCAGCUCAGCUAGACGGACUCUCAGCUCCUUCUUCCACUACACCUGAAGACUUGGAGGGAGAAGGAGCAGUGCAGAGCCCUUCCAGCCAGCAGCUGCAGGAUGCCUGGGUUGGCCCUGGGACUUGAUCUCGUAGUGUAGAAAGGGAAGGAAAGGGCUGAUGAUGGGGAGAGUCUUGGGCCACGGAGAGCCAGCUUUGUUUUCUUGUUGGCCAAGUUCUAAGGCCAGGGGUGGAAGUGUCCGCUCUUGCUGGAUGCCCAGCCCCUCUGUGACUCGCCAGUGUUUCUCACUUGAUGGCUUUGCAGAAGCAGUCAGUUGUCCACUGCCCAGGACUUACGAUCUCCCCACCCUCAGCCUUUGUUAGGGAGUGGCGGCACCUAGGGAGCUGUGGACCGCAGAGCUGUGUCCAGGAUUAAACACAGACCAAAAGAAGAAGGGAGGGUCCCACCGGGAGGGUCCCACCCAGGAUUCACACUGUCUGUGGACGUAUCUACGGCUGCUGAAACCGUGGGUAACUACAUCUCAGUAUUACUCACAGAAGGCUUUUCCCUUUCACCUGUAGCCCUUAACAAUUUCCGCAUGCUGUCCACAGACCAACUGAAUACAUUUCAAUAAAGACUUACUGAUUUUAUUUGAUGAAUAUUGAUUGAGUGCUUGCUACAUAUUAAACAUAGGUCAGGAACCUCCUUCAGGGAAAAAGGCAGAUGAGGCCCCUGGCCACUGUGCACCUGGACUUUACAUUCUUGAGACUGGUGGUGGGAGUGACAAACAAACAAAAAUAAACUGGAAAUACUUAGAUAGUGAUAAGUGCCAUAGAAAAUAAAAAGGAGCAAUGUUAGAGUCUGUAAACAAGUCAAAAUAACACCUGGCAUUUUGCCAGGGGAAUGUUAGAGUUCGUAAACAAGUCUGGAUGGUGCCUGGCAAAAUGCCAGAGGGAGUGAUUUGAGAAGUAACAAAAGAGAGCCAUUAAGUGUAGAGAUUCCUGAUUGGUUGACUGAUGUAUCUAGUUUAUGCUAAUUAGAUAAGCUGUGUGGAAUGUAUAAAUACUGCUCCUGUCCUGCAAUAAACGGUUCCUACUCCUGCUGUAUCAAUCUACACAAGUUGUUCGUCACCCCCCUGAUUAUUCUGCUGCAGCCGGACUACGGCAGAGCAAGAUGGAGAGUGGCUGAGUGUUGAGAUGGUCAAGAAAAUCCUUUCUGAGGACAUGACAUUUGAGCUCAGAUCUAAAUUAUGAGAAUAGUGCAGAUGAGUUUGUACUGAGGGAGUGGCAUGGGCAAAGGCCCUGAGGCAGGAGUCAGUAUGGCUGGCGUCACUGAGUCCUUGAAAGGUUAGUGUGCUUAGAAUAUAUAGAGGCAGUGGGAAGAAGCAGGAAUGAGGUCAAAGGUCAGCCAACUUAUCAGGACCUUGUCAGACACGGUAAGAAGUGUCAAGACAUGGAGACAACAUCAAGAUCAGGGCAAUGACAUGAUGUUACUACUCUCUUGGACAUCUGAUAUCACAAUGGGAUUGGAAGAAAAAUGGGCAUCUUUCACAUGCAUGAGCUACAUCACAGUGGAAAGGACACUGGCCUCUACCUGGAGUGAGAAGCAGCAGCUACACAGCUUCCUGCUUGCAUUGCAUUGGGUGUUCUCACUGCUCAGUUUUGAAGCCUGAUUUCCUUAUCCAUAGAAUGGGAUAACUGCACCCUGAACCACCUCCUGAAGGUGUGGUACGGGUCAAAUGAGACAUUGUGAAAGGUGUGCAUGUGCAGAGGGGUGGAAGGGAUGACGGUCUGUUGUGUUCAGAGGCAGUGGCCUUGAUCGGAACCUCAAAACACUGGACAUUUGUGAUCAUUCCUUUGGAACCUUGGAACCUGCGGUGCUUUUCAGACUGCGCUCCUCUUACUUGGGUGGUUUUUCCCCCUGAAUGAAAGUCAAUGCUGCCUCCAUUUACUCCCAAGGCCUCAGAAGAGAGCCCCCAGCUGCUGCUCACAAUGGGAACCCUGAUCCUUGCGCUGGCACCACAGGGCUGACCAGCUCUCCAAGACGUUAUCUUCUUUGAUCCUGGCAACUCCACCAAGGGGCAGGUAGUUUGAUUUCCCGGGUAGAACGCCCCCCCUUCCCUGCCUCAUGUCAUCAGGCACUUAUCCACAAUGUUUCCAGACUAAAAGGUUUGCAUUUGUCCUCGAACAGAGGCUCUUCCUAAGUCAGGUGAGGCGUGUCGAUUUCCCAGAUUUUCUGAGAACUCUCCCUAAUGGCUGCCAAGUUGAGUUCCUCCACAGGAAGCCUUUCUUGCUCUCUGACAGAAAUCCUGAUGGUAUCUGAGCACCUGACCUCUGGUUCUGCCUUCACAUGUACCCUCUCUGGCAUCCAGAUAUCUGUGAGACUCACCCUUGCAGCUUGUCGAAGUGAGAAGGAAUCUCAGAGACCAGGGAACCUGAGGUCUGGCAGGACAUGGCCCCAGAGUGACAGACUCCGAGGCUCUGUCAAACUCCAGGCAGUAUGGCACCACUUAUUCCCCAAACACCAGGAUCUGUGGUUCAGGAGAUGGCAAAUUCUCAAUGCUCAUAGUAUAGUAUCCUAGACCCAGAGCUGAUUUGCUGGGUCACUGAGAGAGGAGCCUUCUAGUUUCCUGCUAACAUAGACCUUCUGGGUGAGGAAACUGAGAAGCCAGGUGAAGCUUCAGCUAUGGGCCACAUCCUUGGAGCUGAAUGGACUGCUUCCUGGGGGUGUGGGGUGGCACAGGGGGAAAGGCAGGCUUGGGAGUUGGGCAGAUCCGAUUUCACAACCCUGUUCUCUCACUUACAAACUAUAAGUCAGGUGACUGUCCCUGAGCCUUGGUGCACUCAUCUGUGAACCAGGGAGAAAAAUCAUGAGCUAUUUGGGAGGAUUAAAUCUACUCCUGCAUGGUGCCCGGGCUCCCCUCCCCACUAUUAAUUUGGGUGGCACCUCUCUAGCUUCUGGCCUGAGUUGGAAUUGAGAGUAGAUGGACUCAGAUGACCAGGAAAGAGGGGCUGGGGUUGUGGCUCAAUGGUAGAGCAUUUGCCUACCGGGUGUGAGGCACUGGGUUCGAUUCUGAGCACUACAUAUAAAUAAAUCAAUAAAAUAAAGGUCCAUCAACAUCUAAAAAAAUUAAAAAAGAAGAAAAGAUGACGACAAUGACCAGGAAAGAAAGUCAUCUUAGUCAUUGACUCUCAAAAAUCAGACCUUGAACUGGGGGCAGUGGCACACACCUAUAAUCCCAGCUACUCAGGAGGCUGAGGUGGGAGGAUUAAGAGUUCAAAGCCAGCCUCAGCAACAGCGAGACACUAAACAACUCAAUGAGACCCUGUCUCUAAAUAAAAUACAAAAUAGGGCCGGGGAUAUGGCCCAGUGGUCAAGUGCCCCUGAGUUCAAUCCCUGGUACGCCCUCCCCCACAAAAAAAAUCAGACCUUGUGGAGCUAUUUUCAAUGAAUCAGAGACCUCUGAAUUAAAGGUAUGGAAAUCAAGGAAGAACAUGCUGGGGUCAAAAUACUUUUUUUGGGUUGUGCCAGUUCAGGUUCUUCGGAAAAUAGACCCAUGGGUGAUGCAUGGCUGAAUCUGGACCCUGGCUGGUUCCCCAGCCACCGCAGGGUCUUGGGUGGCUGCUGACACGCAGGGGAGGACCCAGGGCUGUCUUCACCAGCCAAAGCCACAGCUGCCCAGAGUCAAGAUGAGCCAGGGGAGACGGGCUCACACUGUAUAAAGGGUUCACUACACAGAUCCUUUAAAUAUGCACGUGCCAAAUGCACUCAUUCCCUAAACAUUGACUGACAACAGCGGUCAGUAGGCAGACCCUGGCAUCCUGACCAGGACAGAAGGGAAUCUCAAAGCCUUUGGAGUUUUUUUUUCGAGAGUUUUUUUUUUUUUUCAGGGCAGGGGUAGGCAGUGGACUCACAGGACUACUUUAAAAAAAAAUAAAGCAUUAUAAGGACAAAUUUUUCUACUUUCUAUUGAUGAUGGAUUAAAAUUGGAAGAUAAUUUUGGACUAUUUCAACUCUUGGUAACAAAAAUUAAAAUAGUCUAUCUUUGUGCCACAUAACAAUGUUUUAGUCAGUGAAAUACCACUUCUAUGACAAUGGUUCCAUAAAGCUACAAAAGAGUUGAAGAACUCCUGCUGGCUAGUGACAUUGUAACAUCAUAGUGCAACACGUUAUUCACGUGCGGGGUCCUCCAUAUGUGAACAAACCUGCUGUCUACCAGCUCCAUGACCACACCAUUAUGUGUGAUACACAAUAUUUGGUAAUGAUAAUAAACAACUAUGUUGCUGAUUUAGGUGUUCACUAGUUUGUACUUUAAUGGUUAUUUCAUUUUAUUCUGCAGUACCUGGGAUGGAACCCAGGGCCUUGCACAUGCUAGGAAAGUGCUCUAUCACUGAGCUACAUUCCCAGCUCUUGGUGGUUAUUUUAGAGUGUAUUCCUGGUUACAUAUUUUAAAAGAUUUAUUAUAAACAGUGUGCCCUGUUAUGCUGGCAGCAGACUCAUAGAUCUCAUAUAUACCCGUUUCUUGCCAGGCACAGUGGCAAUCCCAGCGGCUCAGAGGCUGAGGCAAGAGGAUCUCAAGUUCAAAGCCGACUUCAGCAAUUUAGCAAGAUCCUAAGAAACUUAGUGAGACCCCAUCUCAAAUUUAAAAUAAAAGAGUUAGGGAUGUGGCUCAGUGGUUAAGCACCCUUGGGCUCAAUCCCUGGUACCAAAAACCAAAACCAAAAUAAAGAAAAACCCAACCCUUGUUUCUCCAUAGCAUCAAGAGGCCACAUUGAGUGACUGACCAGCUAGACUUAUAUAAAUGCACUUAAUGUACUCUGAUAUUCCCAUGGACAAAAUUGCCUAGGGAUGAACUUCUCAGAAUGUAUCCCCAUUCUCUUUCAAUUUUCUUUCUUUUUUUUUUUCUUUAACACUGAGCUGUAUUUCCAGUCCCUUUUUUUUUUUUUUUUUUUUUUUGAGACAGGGUCUCAUUAAGUUGCUGAGGCUGGCCUCAAACUUACCAUCCUCCUGCCUCAGCUUCCUCAGUUGCUGGGAUUUCCAGCCCAGGCCACCAUACCAACCUGUUGUGUCCCCACUCUUAAAUAACUCCUGACUGUGCUUACCUCUUACUGAGAACUUAUUGAGUACUGGACAUUGUGCCAAGAACUUCACAAACAUCACCUACUUUCGAAUUUCACAGCAACCUAAGGGGCAUUACUCUCCCCAGCUUUCAAGCAAGGAAACUAAAAAUUAAAAAGAACAUGUAAAUGUCCCCUAAUCACACAGUUAGCAAAUGACAGAAGUAGGAUUUGAACCAAGGUGGAGGAGAAACUCAGAAACACCACCGUUCGGUGUCUGAGUCCACAUCAUGGUUCUGGUAUUAUACCUUCUCUCUUCUGUGAUCCACGCAUAUUUAUCAUUUAGCUUAUUUUCCAAGGAUGCAGCUGUGCUUCUCAGGGGGAACUGGUGUUGCUGAUGUCCCUGUGAGGCACAGGCUGUAGACAUCCAAUUAUUUUUCUAAGGUAAUAUAUUUUUUCCUUUCUCAUAACCCUGUUUUUUUCCCCUAGCACUAAGUGUCACUUGAUAUUUUAUAUCUACUGCAUUAUCAAGAUGUGGUCUGGUGGCCCAAGUGAAAGGAAAACUCCAAGGCAGGGGCUACAUCCGUCCUGUUUCCCUCUCGACUACCCAGGGCUUAGAACAGUGCCAAGCACAAAGUGGGAACCGAAUUAGUAUAUAUUUGUCAAAUAAAUGAACAAGGGCAGGGACGGCUUUGCAAUCGUUCCUGUGCAUUAUUUGUUCCUGGCUCCUUCCAUCUAGUGACCAUGUCUCUAGAAUUAUCUAGCCAGUGACUGGGUUAGAUUGUAACAUACUCUAUGAACGUGCAUCCCAGACAAUGGGAGACACAGUCUCAGAAUCCCUGGUGGGGUUUCCCCCAAAUAAAUUCGCUUGCCCGUUUGUUCCUAACCUCAAUCCCACCCUCUCUUUCUGACCCUUCUGUUUUACUCUCCUAAGAACUCUCUGAGGGCAGGGUACAUAUCUGAGUCAUGUUUGGUAUUCCACACUUGGUACUCUUCCAGCACUCUGCAACUGUGCGGGAAAUUAGUGAAUCGCACUCGUGGUCUUGGUCUCUUUAACAUGGUGCUCCAACCACCUGGGCCAACAAUGGCUCCAUCUACACAUGUUUGAGGACCAAAGCUGCCUUGAGCUGGGCGCAGUGGCGCAUGUCUGUAAUCCCAGUGGCCUGGGAGGCUGAGGCAGGAGGAUCCUGAAUUCAAAGCCAGCCUCAGCAACUUGGCGAGGCCCUAAGCAACUUAGCAAGACCCUUCUCUAAAAAAAGAAAAAAAAAACUGGCUUGGCUUGCCUUGAAGGCGGAAUCUAACUGGGUUGAUGAUUUUAGCUCUGCAGGGCCAGGAGAGGGAGAUGGGGAGGGAAGGAAGCUCUUGCUGAGGGUCCUACCUGCAUGCAUGCCAGGGUCCUAUCCAUUGCCGUCCCCAGGAGUGAUAUAAACCUAAGAACCUCACCAAUAGAAAUAGAUUAGGAAGAUUAAAACAGCAUCCCAACUAGGUUUGAACAUCACUCUGGAGCAGGUUUCUUAGCUCACCCACUCUGAAGGUCUUUCUCUGCAAAAUGGAAACAACAGUAACUUAUUGGGUCGCUGAGAAUAAAGGGAGAGGGUGUAUACAAACAACUAAAAAAAAAAGCCAUUAGUAAAUUGAUUAUCAGCUUUGAAAUACAAUGCUGAUGAAGGGGAUGAUUAGUGGACAGUAGGAGGCUCCCCAAAGGUCUGGGAGAGGACCCUCCCUCUGGCCUCCCUCCUUGGCCGCUCCCCAGAUGCUUGACAUUCCAGCCCGUGGCCCUCAGAAGCCCAGGUUUACAUGCAGAUUGUAUCUGGUACUGUUAAUGGCAUUCAUUCACCUUAUUAGCACCUUCACUGUAAUCAGAUUAGCCUCAGUUGAAAAAUAAAAAAGUCCUGGGCCCAGAAAUGUGAGGGGAAAGGUAAAGAAGAGGGUUCACAGGACACAAAAAAAAGGUCCUUAACUGCAGGUGGCCUUGGUGGAAUGAUAAAGAGGCGUGAGAAGCUGUGAGCACAGCAGGUGCCCUCUGUGGACCCUGAGCUGGGGGAUGGAUGGACAGGUAUAGGGAUGCAUGGGGCCCUGCUCUUCUCAGUGUGUGUCUGCAGGAGGCCACUGGGAUGAAUGUACUUGUGUUGAUUAAUUUAUUUACUGACUUAUUAAAAAAAAUUAAGGCAUUAAAGGCUCUGUGUGAUCCUGUCAUUUCUCAAUCAAAAGACUUUAAAGUUUCAACCACUCUCCUAGGGAGGGUAAGGGGAGAGAAAGAGGAGAACUAGUAUGUAGGGUCUUAUUUUUUAGAUCAGUUUUAUCUUCACAGAAAAACUGAGCAGAGUACAGAGUCCCCAUGUCCUUCCUCUCAUCCCCUUUCCUUUCCCCUGUCAUUAACAACUAACCAUGGUGUGAUACAUUUGUUGCAAUUGAUAACUGAUAUUGAAACAUCAUUAUUGACUAAAGUGUACAGCUGACAUUAGGCUUCACUCUGUGUUGUGAAGUCCUAGACAUUUUGCCUAAUCCACAAUGUCCUGAUCCCAUCACUAUCACAUCAUAUACAAGGGUGACAGUGUGCAGAAAGUCCCCUUGAUGGGUCCUUAUCCCAAAGGCUGGUUUAGACUUGGGACUCGAUUGGGGGAGUGACUUUUUGUGAUAAGCACAAGUUAGGGGUGCAGCACCUGGGGAGAGACACAGUCCCACAUGUGGGUCCCUUGGAGGGGUAGAGAGAAGGCGGAUCUCAGCCUCUGUGGGACACGAUUCAAAGUUUCUUUAUUUCCUACCCCAUUUAUUUUCCCCUUCCUUCUUGCCUUUCCUUUCUUAAUACUUUUCCCUCUUUAGGUUUCAAAUCUUUUGGCAGGUACUUAAUAAAAUUGGGAAGGCCCUUUGUCAUUGGUUCUUAACCCCAAGUUACACAUUUGACUUUCAUAGAAGUAUUUAAAAAGUCAUCCUGAUGCCUGGGGCCCAUCCUGGUUUGGUUUAAUCAGAUUUUCUGCAGAUGAGGUCCAGGUCCAGGGCCUUAUUCAGACUCUCCCAGUGGUCCUAAGGGCAACCAGGGUCCUAGGUAAUGUACCUGUAGCCACUCAGAUUCUCAGGGGGUGCUGAGGUCCAGAGAGCUGGGCCUCCUUUGGGAAGGAGUGUCCCCCCUACUGUACAGGAAGAGAUCACAGGUGUCUUUAUUGGGAAGGUGUCCAGGCAGAGAUUGUUUCAUGUUCUCACACAUGUUCACAGAUAGAAACUGGAUGUUGGGGUCCAUCCUAUUGAAAUAGUGAAAAUUGGGGAAAACCUAAAUGUACACAAAGAGCAGAUGAUUACAUAAAAGUGGCAGCCCAAAGCACUACAUAGCAAUUUUUUUUGAAUAUUUAUUUUUUAGUUGUAGUUGGACACAAUACCUUUAUUUUAUUUAUUUAAAUGUGGUGCUGAGGAUCGAACCCAGGGCCUCGCACAUGCUAGAUGAACACUUUACUGCUGAGCCACAACCCCAGCCCUACAUAGCAAUUUAAACAAAUGACACCAAACCUGUACAUAUUGACACACAGGGCAAUAUUCAAAAGAAGCAACCCCAGUGCUGGGGGUGUGGCUCGGCUGUGGCUUGGUGGUAGGGCCAUUUGGCAUGCAAAAAGCUUGGGGUUCAAUCCCAGCAGCGCCAGUACACGUGUGCAUGUGUGUGCACCCACAUACAAACAAGAAAGAAAAGAAAUGAAAUAUGUCACUCUGGUCUGAGCACGGGUGGUGACCAGAAACUGGCCCUGCUGUUAUGCUGGUACAUCCAGGAGGAACAUCAGUUCUGCUGACACAUGAAAAAAAAAUCAUCUCCAGGGUGUUGUUAAGUGGAAAAUGUCAGUCCUAGCACAGCAUGCAGAAUGUGAUCCCUUUUAUGUAAAUAAAAAACAAGCCCUAAAAAUAGACAUAAUAUACAUAUUUGACAGUAAAUGGAGAGAGAGAGAGAGAGAGAAGAAGAAGAAGAAAAAAAGCCAGGAAGAAAAAUGAGGCUGCCAGGCAGAGUUUUAGACCUAGGAGUGGUGUGGGGAUGGUGAAGAGAGUUGUGGUAUUUUGCUGUAUGUAACUGUGCUAUUUGAAAAAAAAAAGUAUGGUAAAUACAUGUUCAUACAUGAUAAAUGUAAUGAAAAAAUAGAUAGUUUUUUUUUUAAUGAGAAGAAAAAAUUGGCUUUAGGGACAAAAAUUAUGUGGACUAUAGUCCUGAUUUUUUUACUCAUUAUUAGGGCUUGCUACAUAAUCCUCUGCACCUCAGUUUCCCCAUCCAUGCAACGGGGAUAAUACUAUUUCAUACUCAUAGGGUGUAGUAAUAUUCAAUGAAUUGAGGUAUAUGAUCUUGGGUAUGGAUAAAAAUGUGCAACUCCCUAGGCAUGGUGGCACACACCUGUAAUCCAAGCUACUUAGGAGGCUGAGGAAGGAGGAUGGCAUGUUCAAGGCCAGCCUGGGCAACUUAGCGAUACUCUGACUCAAAAUGAAAAAUAAAAAGGGCUAGAGAGGCUGCUCAGUGGUAGAAGGCUCCUGGGUUCAACCCCAGUACUGCAAAACAAAGUGCAACUAAAGAGAUGGAGAGGGUGAUUUAUUUUACUGGAUAAAUGUGGGAAUGGUUUACUUUUCAGCAAUUCCCCAUGAAAAAGAAUAAAAAUGAUCAAUACGUAAAAUAGGUCAAUUAGAAGCUCUGUGCCAAUGAGAAGAAUUAUUCAUUGGCUGCUUCUCCAAUUUACAGGUAAGUACCUCUGUUCUUCUUCAUUUGUUUAUUAACCCAAUCAUCAAAUGUAUGCUAGGCAAAUGCUGUGGAUUAAAUAGUGUUUUCCAAAAAGUCAGGCCUAAAUUCUAAUCCUCAGUCCCUUGGAAUGUGACCCCAUUUGAGGAUAGAGUAGUUGCAGCUGUAAUUAUUGAAGAGGUCAGAUUGAAGUAGGGUGCACCCUUCAUUUAAUAUGACUGAUAUUUGAAUGAGAAGAGGAAAAGAGACAGAGACAGACACAUGCAGGAAGGAUCCCAUGUGAUAUUAGAGGCAGAGACCCAAGUGCUGAACAUGCAAACCAAGGGAUGCCCAGGACUUCAGAUAAAUCACCAGAAGCCAGGAUGGGGGAAAAAAGGAGUCUCCUUUCAGAAGAGCAUAACUUUUACGUGUCACCUUGAUUUUAGACUUUGAGCUCCAGACCUGUGACACAAUGGAUUUCUGCCUUCAUAAGCUGGUUGGUGGUAUUUUAUCUAGUUGGUGGAACAUAACAUAGCAAGCAAGAUGGGAAGGUAAGAGAGCAUAUUUGGACUUUGAAAUCAGAUCAGGGUCUACAUUCUGUGUCAUUGUCCUGGUUAUUUGAUUCCAGAUACACCACUUAAUGUACCUGAUUCCUAAUUUCCUUAUCAAUAGGGACUGAGAUGAGACUAGUGCCUGGGUCAGAUAAUCACUGAUAUUAAGCGAAUAACAUAUAUGAGGUAUUUAGCUCAGUCAUUGGCCCAGGAGAGACAUUAAGUAAAAUGUUAGUUUCCCCUUAAGCACUUACUACACUGUCAGCUCUGGGUUAUAUGUGCUAUGAAGUUUAAAAGAGCACGGUCUAUCCUUCAAAGAUCUGGAAUUAAGGAAAUGCAAAGUAAAUUGAAUUCUUGUUUCACCAUGGCUUCUCCCUUCAAUAUCCCUCUUGGGUGCAGUGAAACCCUCUGCUUGGUCCAUCAAGAGGGGAAACCAACAUUUACACUGAUGUGGCCAGCACCUUACAGGGCGACUCUGAUGGGGACUGUUUUAGCCUCACCACCACUGAAGAGACGUCAUUUCUACUGAGUCAAACCUCGUUCAGACCUUGUGCAGAUCAUUCCCAGCCCAGGUUUGUUCCAGCCUCCUAGAUGUACCAAGCCCCUCCAAGGAUGCCGCAAAAAAACAGGUGGAAGAAGUUCUCCCUGUGUUGAGGCUUGUGCCUCUCCGCCUCCCAAGAGCGCAGAAGUCUGGAAUAGCUGAGUGUGAAUCCUCUUGGUCCUAUCACUGCACAGCAACCAGGUCUGCGCAGGCUGUGUACAGCUUCGUCCAGGUUCUCCUAUCCUCACUCAGCUGCCUCCUGCUUCCUGGCCAGGGCCCGGGCUUCCCGAAAGUCCACUCAUACAGGCACAACUUGUGGGACCACCCUUGAGCAAUAGGGUGCAGGCAUUUGGGGAUAAGUGCUGAGAGCCAUAGCCAAGUCGGAUUGACGCAUGGCAUUUUUGCCAGAACGGAGUGGUUGAGAGGUGAAGCCAGCAAGCCAUUGAGAUGAUAAUGGUUAUGUUAAGCUGUGUAUUCAAUUGUAUAUUAGACCCCUGCUGCCCGCCUGGGCCUGCUACUUUGGAGUUCUUGCAGGGAUUCCUGGAGAGUUCCCAUUGGUUGGAGAACUGCCGGAGGAGGGAUUUCCGAUUGGUGGGUGGUGUGUCCCAGGAGAAGGCCACAUGCGUGUCGAUCGUGGGAGUGCGGAGAAUAAAGGAGUUCCUGUUUUGAACCUACAAGGCUGUGUGGCGGCUCGGUUAUUUUGUGCCCAGCCAGACUGCGGCAGAUAAAUGCCUCAUCCUUUGCUGUCCAGAGCUGUGGUUCCCAAAGGCACUUCCUCAGCUCAUCAGGGCUCUCGUGCGAUCUAGUAUCCCUCGCCCUUAGUAGCCGCCAACCCAAAGCAUUCUUGUACAGAGAUGUUCCCUUCUUCCCUGCUCCAGACGUAGAAUCACAUUUUCAAGGAAAAUACCUGUCUCAAGCUCUACUUUUGGGAAGACACUUGUAUGGUCACUUUUUAAGAUGCAGGUCAAAUAUCCAGAAAUGGAAGCCAUCCUUCCACCCAAUCCCACAGUCUAUACAUUUCUGCACAUAGAGACGGGUUCAAUCUUCAGGUGCCCCAGGCAAUUCCAGCUUCCCACCACUUUGUGCAGAUUGUGUGUGUGUGUAGGGCGGGUAUGGGGAUUGCACCCAGGGGCACUCUAACGUUGAUAUCCCAGCCCUUUUAUUUUAUUUUGAGAUGGGACCCAGGCUGGCUUCAAACUUGCAAUCUUCCUACCUCAUUCUCCCAAGUAGCUGGGAUCACAGGCAUGUUCCAUUAGGCCCAGCAUCUACUGCACUAAUUUGUUUUCGUGUGUGUGUGUGUGUGUGUGUGUGUGUGUCUUAGGGAUUGAACCCAUGGCCUUGCACAAGUAAGGCAGGUGCUCUACCACGUGCUUCAUUCCCCAUCCCACACUGCACUACUUGGUAAUUGCUCCUGGUGAGUUCUGCAACCAGACAAGUCCAAGGAGGGAAGACUAUAUGUCUUUUCUUCAUUUUUAGCACCCAGUGGAGUACUGUCAUAGCAGGAGCUAGACAAAUGCAUAUUAAAUCUACUCUGGGUUAUAAGGGCUCUCUCCCUGACAACAAAUGCGACUCGGUGGCACAGUAAACAGCUUGGGUUGUGUUCUAGUGGCCCUGGCUCUGAUUCCCCAAGACUGCUGAGGUCCACCCGUUCCUGGGCUAUUUUGCUAAUGUUUCCUCCUGCUCCACCACUUGGUUGGCUUCACCUAGGACACCUGUGGUCAUCUCUACCUCUUCUCCCUCCCUAUCAGAUAUCAUGCCUUCUGUUAUGGUUUGGAUUUGGAUUGUCCCUCAAAGACUCAAGUUUUGAAGGCUUGGUCUCCAAUACAGUAGUGUUCAGAAGUGGGGCUUUUGGGGAGUGAUUGGAUCAUGAGGGCUCUGACCUUUUCAGUGGAUUCAUCCACUGAUAACUGAAUGAACUACUGGGCAGGGAUGGAGGCUGUGGGAAGUGGGACCUGGUCAAAGGGAGUAGGCCUUCAUGGGCAUGCCCUUGGGGACUAUACCUUGUCCCCCCACUUUUCUCUCUCUUUCUCUCUGCUUCCUGGCUGCCAUAAGCUGAGCAGCUUUCCUUGGCCACGCCCUUCUGCUAUGAUGUUCUUCCUUGCCUCAGACUCAAUGUGAUGGAAAUAGCCAACCAUGGACUGAAACUUCUGUAACCUACCUGAUGAUAGUGAACACCCUUGGAUAUUUCUGAGUUCAGUAGGAUUCCUUCUCAUGUUUUGAACUUAUGGUAGGUACAUACUGUCAUUUUAAGAAAGAACUUGUCUGUUACUAUCUAACCUUUUACAAAAAAAGAAAGUAUUUUAUUUUCACCUUCUAGUAGAAUUUUAUCUGUUAAUCUAUCACAAUGAAGAAUUAUAUUAAUUAUUUUUCAAUAUUGAAUCAUCCUUCAAUUCUGGAAGCAUCCUUCAAUUCUGCUGUGCUUUGGUAUUUGAAAGUGGGCAUAAUUUGUUUUAAUCUAAACUUUGUCAGGUUCACUUUGUUCACAAAUAUAAUGAAACAUGUUGCCUUUCUCAAAGUCAAAGAUGAGUGUGUCAACAAUUCAAAGGAGUAAAUAAUUUUAUGAGAUUUAUUAAAAGAGGAGUCUCUUGCUCCACUUCUUAUCCCAUUUUCUAGUCCCUAGAAGCAACUACUUUUGAUUCUGUUAGUCAUUUAUUUUGAUAUUAUUUGGUAUUUAGGUACACCUUUAUAUCUAAAUAAUAAUUUGUAUUUCUACUUCUUGAAUUUCUACUUAAGCAUUAUUUGUUAAAUUUCCAUAAUGGGAUGGAGAAUUACCUUUCUUGUGGGCUAGGGUUGUGUCUCAGUGGUAGAGUGCUUGCCUAGCAUGUGUGAGGCAGUGGGUUCGAUCCUCAGCACCACAUAAAAAAUAAAUGAAUAAAAUAAAGGUAUUGUGCCUACAGCUAAAAAAAAAAAUUAAAAAUUACCUUUCUUUCUUCUACUCCAACUCUCUCACAACACAAAAGUAUAUUUUGGCCUUCACUGCCUCCUCCAUACAAUUAUAAUUUUCAUUUAGAUCUAUAUCACAUUUAACACUAUUAUAUAUUCAUAUUAACCAAAUAUAUUAUAAUAUUGUUUGCUUUUAUAUAUACUUUUGUUUUUCAAUAAUUAUUUUCUUUUUUGUUUAGUUUUCUAUGCUUUUGUAGCUGAUCUGUAGCUCCAUUCUUCACUAUGUUCACCAAAUGGUUCAUUAGUUCCAUCUCCUUGAAGACAUUGCUCCUGAAGGAUUCUGACCUGUGCCAAUAAUAAUCUUGUAGAAUUGGUAUGAUGGUGGUCCCCCUUCCUCCACAGGGGUUACACUAAGUCCCCUGGUGGAUUCCUGAAACCACGAUAUUACCCAAUCCUAUGUGUGUUACAUUUUUUCUUACAUAUACACAUCUGUGAUCAAGUUUGAUUUGUAAA